rnacentral:misc_RNA from 1 species
ACCAUACUGCAUUUGGAAUUCAUACCCGCAGCCCUCAGGGAGCUUCAGCUUCUGGCAAUUGAACCAGGAGUCACCAGUCUCGGCAAUCACAGCACUGUCACUGUUCAGCAUCUUCUGGACGUGCUUGAAGAGCACAUUAACGCGCAGCGGCUCAUUCGGCUCGCUCUCCAGCGGCUGGCCCUCAGGCACGAAGAUCCUCUUGUAG